rnacentral:misc_RNA from 1 species
GAUGAAGAACGUAGCGAAAUGCGAUAAGUAAUGUGAAUUGCAGAAUUCAGUGAAUCAUCGAAUCUUUGAACGCACCUUGCGCUCCUUGGUAUUCCAAAGAGCAUGCCUGUUUGAGUAUCAUUAAAUUAUCAACUGUACCAAUUUGGUUGCAGAUUGGAUGUGGGAGAUUUUGCAGGCUUUUGAUUUCUCUUUGAGAAAACGGUCAGCUCUCCUGAAAUAUAUUAGCAGUGCCUUUGUUGGUUCAUUAGGUGUGAUAAUUUAUCUACAUCUUCACAUGGUACCUACAUUUGUGUAAAGGUCAUAUUGCUUCAAAUUGUCUUUGGACAUAAAAAAAAAAAAACAUAUAAUUGUAUGGAAAACUUGAUCUCAAAUCAGGCAGGACUACCCGCUGAACUUAAGCAUAUCAAUAAGCGGAGGA